rnacentral:rRNA from 1 species
CAGCAGUAGCCACGGUAAUACAGAGGGUGCGAGCGUUAAUCGGAUUUACUGGGCGUAAAGCGUGCGUAGGCGGCUAAUUGAGUCGGAUGUGAAAUCCCCGAGCUUAACUUGGGAAUUGCAUUCGAUACUGGUUAGCUAGAGUGUGGGAGAGGAUGGUAGAAUUCCAGGUGUAGCGGUGAAAUGCGUAGAGAUCUGGAGGAAUACCGAUGGCGAAGGCAGCCAUCUGGCCUAACACUGACGCUGAGGUACGAAAGCAUGGGGAGCAAACAGGAUUAGAUACCCCAGUAGUCCCUGUCUCUUAUAA